GAGAUUUUUUGUUGGGACUGUAUUAACGAUGAUGAUGACAUGAAAACCAAAAUCUGAAUACGAUUGUAAAGUCGUUUACAUAUUUUAAAACAAGAAGAAUGCGGCUGUAAACCUAGAUCCACCAUAUGGGCUUGCAAAUACCAAAAUGUAAUGAGUGCGCAUUGUGUAUUUUGUUCACAUUGAGAAAUGAUAAAUUCUUCUAAAGCAACGCUUUCAGAAUCUUUGUUAAGGACGAGAUGACUACAGUAUGAUAUUAGAGAUGCACGAACACAACGGAAUAAACGUU